UACGGAAGGCAGCAGUGGGGAAUAUUGCACAAUGGGCGCAAGCCUGAUGCAGCCAUGCCGCGUGUAUGAAAAAGGCCUUCGGGUUGUAAAGUACUUUCAGUCGUGAGGAAGGUGUUAAGGUUAAUAACCUUAGCAAUUGACGUUAGCGACAGAAGAAGCACCGGCUAACUCCGUGCCAGCAGCCGCGGUAAUACGGAGGGUGCGAGCGUUAAUCGGAAUUACUGGGCGUAAAGGGCACGCAGGCGGUUAAUUAAGUUGGAUGUGAAAUCCCCGGGCUUAACCUGGGAAUGGCAUUCAAGACUGGUUAGCUAGAGUCUUGUAGAGGGGGUAGAAUUCCAUGUGUAGCGGUGAAAUGCGUAGAGAUGUGGAGGAAUACCGGUGGCGAAGGCGGCCCCUGGACAAAGGCUGACGCUCAUGUGCGAAAGCGUGGGGAGCAAAC
rnacentral:rRNA from 1 species